GGAUACAGCUCAGUUGGUAGAGUGAGUGCCUUGUAUGCACAAGGCCUUGGUUUCAAUCCCUAGCACCA
rnacentral:tRNA from 1 species